AUUGAACGCUGGCGGCAGGCCUAACACAUGCAAGUCGAGCGGAUGAAGGGAGCUUGCUCCUGGAUUCGGCGGCGGACGGGUGAGUAAUGCCUAGGAAUCUGCCUGGUAGUGGGGGAUAACGUCCGGAAACGGGCGCUAAUACCGCAUACGUCCUGAGGGAGAAAGUGGGGGAUCUUCGGACCUCACGCUCUCAGAUGCGCCUAGGUCGGAUUAGCUAGUUGGUGGGGUAAAGGCCUACCAAGGCGACGAUCCGUAACUGGUCUGAGAGGAUGAUCAGUCACACUGGAACUGAGACACGGUCCAGACUCCUACGGGAGGCAGCAGUGGGGAAUAUUGGACAAUGGGCGAAAGCCUGAUCCAGCCAUGCCGCGUGUGUGAAGAAGGUCUUCGGAUUGUAAAGCACUUUAAGUUGGGAGGAAGGGCAGUAAGUUAAUACCUUGCUGUUUUGACGUUACCAACAGAAUAAGCACCGGCUAACUUCGUG
rnacentral:rRNA from 1 species